rnacentral:rRNA from 1 species
UACGGAGGAUGCAAGCGUUAUCCGGACUUAUUGGGCGUAAAGCGUCCGCAGGUGGCUAGACAAGUCCGCUGUCAAAGACUGGAGCUCAACUCCGGGCAGGCGGUGGAAACUGUCGAGCUAGAGUACGGUAGGGGUAGAGGGAAUUCCCAGUGUAGCGGUGAAAUGCGUAGAGAUUGGGAAGAACACCAGUGGCGAAGGCGAUCUACUGGGCCGUAACUGACGCUCAGGGACGAAAGCUAGGGGAGCGAAAGGG